rnacentral:rRNA from 1 species
GAAUUCAACUCCUACGGGAGGCAGCAGUGGGGAAUAUUGCACAAUGGGCGAAAGCCUGAUGCAGCGACGCCGCGUGAGGGAUGACGGCCUUCGGGUUGUAAACCUCUUUCAGCAGGGACGAAGCGCAAGUGACGGUACCCGCAGAAGAAGCACCGGCUAACUACGUGCCAGCAGCCGCGGUAAUACGUAGGGUGCAAGCGUUGUCCGGAAUUACUGGGCGUAAAGAGUUCGUAGGCGGUUUGUCGCGUCGUUUGUGAAAACCAGCAGCUCAACUGCUGGCUUGCAGGCGAUACGGGCAGACUUGAGUACUGCAGGGGAGACUGGAAUUCCUGGUGUAGCGGUGAAAUGCGCAGAUAUCAGGAGGAACACCGGUGGCGAAGGCGGGUCUCUGGGCAGUAACUGACGCUGAGGAACGAAAGCGUGGGUAGCGAACAGGAUUAGAUACCCUAGUAGUCCAGGCGUU